rfam:Oceanobacillus iheyensis HTE831 DNA, complete genome.
UAAGACAAGUAGAAGCACCCGCUUCUCACCUGAUUGACACCGAUUAUGGUAGUUGACUGGUUCCAACCUUUUAUUUAAAUGUAUUUGGAGAUGUGUGGGUGCGUGUAUGUACCGACACUUUUUUAAUUGC